rnacentral:rRNA from 1 species
GGGCCCGCACAAGCAGUGGAGCAUGUGGUUUAAUUCGAUGCAACGCGAAGAACCUUACCAGGGUUUGACAUCCUGCGAAUCUCUUGGAAACAGGAGAGUGCCUUUGGGAACGCAGUGACAGGUGGUGCAUGGCUGUCGUCAGCUCGUGUCGUGAGAUGUUGGGUUAAGUCCCGCAACGAGCGCAACCCACGUCUUUAGUUGCCAGCAUUUAGUUGGGCACUCUAGAGAGACUGCCGGUGAUAAACCGGAGAAGGUGUGGAUGACGUCAAGUCAUCAUGCCCCUUACAUCCUGGGCUACACACGUACUACAAUGCUACGGACAAAGGGCAGCAAGUUCGCGAGGACAAG